AUUGAACGCUGGCGGCAUGCCUAACACAUGCAAGUCGAACGCGAAAGAGGGGCAACUCUCGAGUAGAGUGGCGGACGGGUGAGGAAUACGUAGGAAUCUGCCCUAAAGUGGGGGAUAACCCGGGGAAACCCGGGCUAAUACCGCAUAAUAUCUUCGGAUUAAAGCAGGGGACCGCAAGGCCUUGUGCUUUAGGAUGAGCCUACGUCGGAUUAGCUUGUUGGUAGGGUAAUGGCCUACCAAGGCGACGAUCCGUAACUGGUCUGAGAGGACGAUCAGUCACACUGGAACUGAGACACGGUCCAGACUCCUACGGGAGGCAGCAGUGGGGAAUAUUGGACAAUGGGGGAAACCCUGAUCCAGCAAUGCCGCGUGUGCGAUGAAGGCCUGCGGGUUGCAAAGCACUUUCGGUGGGGAAGAAAUACUCAAAGAUAAUCUCUUUGAGGGCUGACGUUACCCACAGAAGAAGCACCGGCAAACUCUGUGCCAGCCGCCGCCGUAA
rnacentral:rRNA from 1 species